rnacentral:lncRNA from 1 species
GUGCAUGUUCAUAUAUAAUAAGCAUUAAAUAUGACUGUUAAUUAUUUUCUUAUGGCUCGGUUUCGUGGUCCCAAAACCACUUUCCGGCUAUGGUCAAUUUAGGGCUGUCACAAGUAUUGUCUCAAGAAAGGCAACUUCAUAACAUUCCUCUUAACUUGGGGAAAGGGGGCUAUUGUCAUACCUAUCUCUACUGCCAUCUACUGCCAUCCUAAGUUCAACAAGACUCACUCAAGGGUCACCUCCAUAACAUCCUAAUGAAGCUUUCCAUACCUCUACAAUCACUCUAUGCAAUAGGCAUCAUUUGAGGGGAUUCACGUCAAGCUACCCCUUCCCCUUUGAUAUAAGGCUCUCUCCAUCAUCAAAAGAGAGGAGCUGAAGAUAUAACAAAAUUGAUUGUAGUCAUAAACUAAUUAAAAAUCUAACUAAGGC